UACGGAGGGUGCGAGCGUUUGUCCGGAAUCACUGGGCGUAAAGGGCGCGUAGGCGGCUGGGGAAGUCGGCGGUGAAAGCCCGGAGCUCAACUCCGGGUCGGCCGUCGAGACUCCUCGGCUCGAGCUCACUAGAGGCAGAUGGAAUUCCGGGUGUAGCGGUGGAAUGCGUAGAGAUCCGGAAGAACACCGGUGGCGAAGGCGGUCUGCUGGGGUGAGGCUGACGCUGAGGCGCGACAGCGUGGGGAGCAAACAGG
rnacentral:rRNA from 1 species